UACAGAGGUGGCAAGCGUUGUUCGGAAUUACUGGGCUUAAAGGGCGCGUAGGCGGGUGCUCAAGUCCGGGGUGAAAUCCUCCAGCUCAACUGGAGAACUGCCUCGGAUACUGGGUGCCUCGAGUGUGGUAGGGGUGUGCGGAACUAUCGGUGGAGCGGUGAAAUGCGUUGAUAUCGAUAGGAACUCCGGUGGCGAAGGCGGCACACUGGACCACAACUGACGCUGAGGCGCGAAAGCCAGGGGAGCAAACGGG
rnacentral:rRNA from 1 species